UAUUUUUAAAGGGCCGCGGUAUACUGACCGUGCGAAGGUAGCAUAAUCAUUAGUCUUUUAAUUGAAGGCUUGUAUGAAUGGUUGGACAAAAAGUAAUCUGUCUCAGUUAUAAUAGUUGAACUUAACUUUUAAGUGAAAAGGCUUAAAUACUUUAAGGGGACGAUAAGACCCUAUAAAACUUAACAAUAAUUUGAUUAAAUUAUAAAUUGUUAGUAUAACUUGAUUUUAAUUAAUGUUUGUUGCGUUGGGGCGACGGGAAUAUAAUUAGUAACUGUUCUUAAAUAUUUUAUUAACAAGUAUAAUUGAAGAAUAAUUGAUCCUUUAUUAAAGAUUAAAAGAUUAAGUUACUUUAGGGAUAACAGCGUAAUCUUCUUUGAGAGUCCUCAUCGACAAGAAGGUUUGCGACCUCGAUGUUGAAUUAAGGUAUCCUUAUAAUGCAG
rnacentral:rRNA from 1 species